AACGAACGCUGGCGGCAGGCCUAACACAUGCAAGUCGAGCGAGGACUUCGGUCCUAGCGGCGGACGGGUGAGUAACGCGUGGGAACGUGCCCUUUGCUUCGGAAUAGCCCUGGGAAACUGGGAGUAAUACCGGAUGAGCCCUUUGGGGGAAAGAUUUAUCGGCGAAGGAUCGGCCCGCGUUGGAUUAGGUAGUUGGUGGGGUAAUGGCCUACCAAGCCGACGAUCCAUAGCUGGUUUGAGAGGAUGAUCAGCCACACUGGGACUGAGACACGGCCCAGACCCCUACGGGAGGCAGCAGUGGGGAAUCUUAGACAAUGGGGGAAACCCUGAUCUAGCCAUGCCGCGUGAGCGAUGAAGGCCUUAGGGUUGUAAAGCUCUUUCAGCUGGGAAGAUAAUGACGGUACCAGCAGAAGAAGCCCCGGCUAACUCCGUG
rnacentral:rRNA from 1 species